UCACCCCACCCCUGCCCAGAACUCUUUCCUCAAGGCUAGCCUAGGAGACCAUAGCCUUGGGCUGCCUCCCCUGCAUGCUUAGAUCCAGCCAGAGCCCCCCCGCUGGGCCACAGACCUCCAUCCCCAUGGCAGCUUCUUUUCCAAAGUGCAUUCACCUCAUUGAGAACAGCCUCUCCUCUCCUGAACAUUCCAGGCCUUCCAUUCAGGCUGACUUAAUGCCACCUGGCCAGAAAAAAACAGUGUCCAUUCCCCCUUUUCUAAAACCUUGAUUUUGUGAUCAUUUGAACCUCUGAGUUUAGAAUCGCUGUAUUAUAACUUCCUUGGGAUCCUAUCUUUGCAGCUAGCCACAUUCCAAAUUAUAAGACUCUCUCUGGAAGCCUGUUGUAGACAACCAAAAGCCCCGGUGAUGCAGGGAGCUCACCAGACACACACUUUUAUACUCACCACCUUAUCUUAAGCUGGUUACCAUCUGCUGACCCCAGUCAGUUAUUCUGGGAAAAGCUGGGUUUGGAAAAGGAGUUCCCCGAAUGUAUUUAAUAUCAAAUGGAGCAAUGGUUCUCAAAGUGUGCUCCCUGGAGCAGCAGCGGCACCAGCAUCUCCUGGGAACGCUUUAGACAUGCACAUCCUCCAGCCCCACCCACCCCUGCUGAGUUAGAAGCUCUGCGGUGAGGCCAGUGCACUCAAGUUUGACAACUACCAAAAUAGAGUAAAAGAUGGGGGAGAAAAACCCCUCGAGUAUCAAAGGUUAGAAGGCCACAAUAGUGAAGCGUCUGUGCCUACCAUUUGCAGAAUGUGGAAAGUUUAGGGUGUUUACUACUGUAUGUUGAAUAAUGAUUCCCUUAAAACUUUUGUGAAUUGUAAAAGUAAAUCCCUAGGAAUGCUGGGCAGUGAUAACCUGACUCUCCCAUUUUCACCUGCGUACACAUGCCCAGAACAUCCUUUUCUCCCUCACAACAGGGAAGUUGGAAGGUAAAAGUUAUUUUCUACCAAUAUAAAGUCUUAGAUUUUUAUUUACUAAAUUCUUAACACAGUACAUGGCACAGUUACCUUUUAAAGGCUUUCCAUUUCUUUAAUCUGAGCCCACAGCAACCCCAUUUUAAGGAGAGGAACUAGAGCCAGAGAGAUUUAGGAGCCAGCCUGUACCUCAGGGAUGAGAGAUAUUACUUGCUGGAGCAGAGAUUUGAGCUUGGCAAUGCUCCCAGACCCACACUUGCCCUUGCUUUUGAUUUUCUACCUCCCUAAUGAACAAGUGGGGAUCAUAAAAGUCAGCUGUGCCCAGCUUAGAGCACCUGUUUCUGUCUGAGCAAUGAAAAGCCAUUUGAUUGGCAGUCAACUUGGAGAAACCUUGACCCUAAAAGAUAAUGCCGUAAAGACCAAACACACUGAGCGGUCAUAGCAUUUCAACUUGACAAAAUUUGUCAUACUCUUUUCUUGAGGUGGACUUCUUUUUUUUGCUAGUGGCAGGGGUAGAUUUCCUUGUUUUGCUGGUAAUUAUCGCCAUUUACCUUAGACUUCAUAGGUGGUUUUUUAUGUAUUCCUCGUGAAAGCCAUAGCCAAAGACCUUUUCAACCCCAAGCAUCUGUCUCUUGGUAGGUACCGGCUUCAGGCAAGUGGCUUCGCUCAUUAAGAAAAUAUAGUAAUUUGAGUGUCAUUGCUACAAGGGAAGUGUUCCUAUGUACUCCAUUACACCAACUGCAGUGAGACUAUCAGGAAAGCUUUGGGUACCGUCCCCAGGCACUGCACAUCACUCUGCUGAAAUUUCAGGAAAAGUUUACGGGUCUCAAGGACAGAGUUGAAGUCAAAAAAUUUCACCUUCAUGUUAAUUUUUUAUGGAUUUUUUAAGGGUGGGGGGAGGCAAAAAGAUUCAUUUCACCAUUCCCUUUGUCUCCUUAAAACUCAGAAGAAACCUCACAGACCAAUGAGAGAGUUUGAAAUCACUAUUUUAAGAGGCAUAGCAUAAAAGAAUUUUGAUAGAAAAGUAGAGCAAAAUAAGCAGUAAAACCUCAUCCCUAACAUUCUCCAGCUGCCUGACAUCCUGGUUCAGUUCCGGAGACUUGGACCACUGCUCCCUAGUUCCAGGGGGUGGCACAGGAGACAAAAACAAGACCUGAGGCUGAGACCCAACAGAAGAUGAAACUUGGGAGCAGCCUCAGCUCUGGGAAUCCUCACUUCCUGGCACAGCAGGUUUGGGUGCCGCAGAGCCCAGGGCUAGACGCCUGCCAGCAGUCCAUCAGUCACGGUCUCAGAUGAGUGGCAUCAAGGUAGAGCCCACUGAGGUGAAGGAAGGAGCUGUGAGGGACACCUGCAUCCUGCUGCAGAAAUGUCUGCCCCCGCCUUGUCCCACCGCAGCUCCAUCUCACAGUUGGAGAAGCGGAAGCAAAGCAACCUGUCCUGGACCAUGCAGCCUGGUCCUCUGUUUCCAGAGCCAGAGGUCUUUGUGCUCUGAAACAAAGACCGUGACCCCAUUAACCCACUGGCACUUACUGUGUGCCAGGCACUCAGCCUGUGUUGUCUCGUUGCGGCACAGAGCAGCCCUGGGAAUGGAAGCAGUGUCAUCAUUCCCAUUUUUCAGGUGAGGCACAGGCUCAGAAAGGUCAAGAAACUUGCUCAUGGUCUCACAGCUGGUGAGUAGGUUGUCAGACUCCAAAGAUGUGUGCUGCUAACCCUGCCCAAAGGGACUUCCUCCUCCUCCCUCCUUCCCAGGCAGUUCUCCCAACACCCGCCAACAGGCAACGUAGGUGUGAUUGCCUUCAAAGUUUUCUACUUGCCUUCAAGCUUGAAGCACUGGAGACUGAGGGAAGAGAGCACUGGAAGUGGAGGAAGAAAAAAGAGCUGUUCCCUCCAAGGUUGUUCCCUCGGGCCUGACUCGACUGGAAGAAGCAGGGUGUAUAUGUGUGUGUGUAAUUGACUUUGUGACCAUGAAACUGAGUUAAUACUCUUCUGUCUUUGCCUGUUUCUUCUUGUACAUCACCUAGAGGAAUACCCAUUAAUGUUUAGAGGCAGAGAACAAUAGAAAAUAGCACUGUUCAAGGACCAAAAAUUUAAAAAGACUGCUGACAUACAGCAUAGAAUGUGAAAGUCCCUGAUAAUCUUAUCCCUAGGGAUAACCACUUGCCAUUUUUUUUACAAUUUGAAUUCUUUAUGAUUAUAAAAGUCAUACACAUUUAAAAAUACUUAAAAAUAAAUGCUUCAUUGCUCAGGUUACCUUGGUACCUGCAAGGUCUGAGACCACAUCCAUCAAUGCAGUUUGCUGCGUGGAUUACCACAUCUCCCCACCAUUGACCUCGAUUUUUUUACUCAGAGCAAACAGAAUGGGCAAGGGCUGACCUGAAAUCCUUUUGAAACACAAGCUGGAUCCUAGGGCUUUGACCUCCACUGCUCACUGCCACACGGGAUCCGUGUCUGCGCCCCACUCUUCCCCAGCCCCACUGGCCUUCCUGCUGCUGCUCACACAGGCCUACUCCUAAGGCCUUUGCAUACUCUGUUCCCUGCAGAGGCCUCUGUCUCUGAACAAAUGUGGGACCCAUCUCUGCCAAGGCUGGGAAGCAAACAGCCCCCACUUUGCCUUGCCAGCCUGUGUUUGCACCAUUCCUGUGCUGGCCCCUCCCAGCUGCCUUCAUGUGGGAUUUGAGCUCUGGGAAGCUGGAAGUUUAUGGAGUCCACUUCCCUCAUUUUGCAUAUAUGGACGAUAAAGCCCACAGGCAAGGGCUCUGACAAAAGGAAACAUUCCUUCCAUUUGGCAUUGUGAUGCAGAGGCUGUCACAGACAAGCCUGGGAAUUGGGGGUACAUCUUGCUGAGCCUAGAGAUAGAAAAGAGCUUCUAGGCUGCCUUCCCUGAGCCCCAGGUCAGGCCCCUCCAGGACACAGUUGCAUGGCACCCUGUUCUUUAAAACACUGCACACUAAUGACUAUGCAAAGGAUUAACUGACUUUUCAAUAUUCUUGUUUUCUACCAAGUGAUAAGCUUCAGAAGGACAAGGUAUGAGUCGGUUUUGCUCUUUUGCCUUCCCCAGCACGUGGCACAAUGCCCAGCACAUAGUGUUUUGAGAGACAGCUGACUGGCUGUCUCAUACAAGGCCCUGCUCUGUUGGGCACAAGGGCUGCUUAACACGUUCCUAUGCUACAAAAGAAAGUGCUCCUCUCCUCCAGGAGCCACCAAAUAAAUUCAGAUACUAAUGCCAAAGAGAAGGCAGCAUCGGCUUGGGGAAAGAGUGCCUUUAAGGCACUUUCUCUCUAUGGAGGCAGUGUGGAAUGAUAGGGAUGAUCUAGGACCUAAAGGAGAGACCUUAAGUCUUACUUGCAGCCAAAAGCCUUCAAACCUGAGCUAGCCAGAACUGUUAUGUCAGAAUUCUCACCCAUGACAAGAAGCCCAGAGGGAGUCCAGGGUUGAUGCAUUGACUUAAGGUGUCAUCAAAAGCUUAGACUUUACCCUUCUGCUGCACCACCCUUAUUACCUUGUGGUCACAAGAGGACUACUGCUGUUCACGUCAUCACUUCCACAUUCCAGAAGGAAGAAAGGAGAGGUAGAGGGCCAGAAGUAUCCCCUCCUUUUAUCAGGAGUCAUUAACUUUCCCAGAAACUUCCAUGUCCACCCAGCAGACUUCCACUUACAUCUCACUAGGCAGAACUCCUAUCACUUGGCCACCCCAGUAGUUAGGGAAGCUGGAAAGGUGAGCAUUCAGCUACAGAGAGUGGAAGCACAAGCAGCAAGGGAAGAACAGAUCAGUAAUUGCUAUAGAGUUUCCUGCCCAGCAGCAUCUGCCAAAACUAGGUAAAUUAUUUUUUAACAUAAUAGUAUUUUUGUGGAUUUUCUUAUUACAAAAGCAGUGCAUAUAUAUUGUUACUUUGAAAAAUAAAGAUUUUAAAUCUUCAACAAGCCCAUUACUCAGAAGUGAUGACUGUUAUUCUUGGUUUAUUAGCUUUCUAGAUCUUUGUAUUUUUUUUAACGUGGGUGGAACCACAAUAUGGGUUGCUCUGAAAUUAGCCUUUGCACUUGGCAUUGUGAAAAAUCUUUCCAAAUCAUUAAAUGUUCUCUGCAGAAUUAC
rnacentral:lncRNA from 1 species